GGGGUUGUGGCUCAGUGGUAGAGCGCUUACCUAGCUAGCAUGUGUGAGGCAUUGAGUUUGAUUCUCAGCACCACA
rnacentral:tRNA from 1 species